GAUGAACGCUAGCUACAGGCUUAACACAUGCAAAUCGAGGGGUAACGAGAGGAAAGCUUGCUUUCCUUGUCGACGACCGGCGCACGGGUGAGUAACGCGUAUCCAACCUGCCCCCAACUAGGGAAUAACCUUGCGAAAGUAAGACUAAUACCCUAUAAUUUCCUCAGAUGUCAUCUGACGAGGAAUAAAGAUUUAUCGGUUGUGGAUGGGGAUGCGUCUGAUUAGCUUGUUGGCGGGGUAACGGCCCACCAAGGCAACGAUCAGUAGGGGUUCUGAGAGGAAGGUCCCCCACAUUGGAACUGAGACACGGUCCAAACUCCUACGGGAGGCAGCAGUGAGGAAUAUUGGUCAAUGGGCGGAAGCCUGAACCAGCCAAGUAGCGUGCAGGAUGACGGCCCUAUGGGUUGUAAACUGCUUUUAUACAGGAAUAAAGUUAGCCACGUGUGGUUAUUUGUAGGUACUGUAAGAAUAAGGACCGGCUAAUUCCGUGCCAGCAGCCGCGGUAA
rnacentral:rRNA from 1 species